rnacentral:rRNA from 1 species
UUGGGGGAUUUUAACAAAAUUUUAUAUCCUUCGAAAAAAGAGGGCGGUAUGGCAAGACCACUUGGUAUGAUGAGAGAUUUCCGUGAAUGCCUAAUGGAUUGUGGGCUCGACGACUUAGGCUAUACCGGUGACCUUUUCACUUGGAGGAGAGGCAAAAUACGUGUGCGUCUUGAUCGGGCGGUCUGUAAUUUAGCGUGGGCAAAUAAAUUCCCACGAGCUGCAGUGAUCAACGAAGUACAUGUUCACUCUGACCACCGCCCAAUUGUACUGGACAUGGAUUAUUUGGAUGAAAAGAUCUUUAAACGACAGAGGAGCGUGUUAAACAAUUUGAGGUGA